AACUAAUGAGGAAUAUGGAAAUAACUAACUACCUAGUUAGAUAUUUCCAUUUUCCUUUUCCCGGGCACCUUCCCGGGGAAGUGAGGUUCAGUGACGUUAUAUGGUAGACAAAUAUCAAUAGAUAUAAUAUGAACAGUAUUUUAGACACUAUUUUAUUUGUCGAUAGUAUGUUAUGGCCGCAUUGUGUCCCUUAAAUCGCCAGAAUUAGCCUAAAGUGUUAUGAAAUAUGCACCAGCAUUUCAGCUCUAUGGUUUUUCACAAUGUAUACGAUUACUAUCUUGUCAAGUGCUAAAGUAUAGUGUCAUUUACUAUUUAUCUCUAUCAGCUUAUGGUUUUAAAAGGAGGUCGGCCCGCGCCCAAGCAGUUGAAUAACCGCCAAUCAUAGAUGUCCUUAUCUACUAAUUUACUGACAGAUAAGCUGUUGGUUUAUAAUCAGCGUGCAGUGUGGCGGGAGACGCCGCGGUCGCACCAUGUGCUUGUCGUUGAACUACUUCUGUUGCUGCUUCAGUUUGAGUGCAGGCGCUAAGAUUGUCAGUGUAGUCAGCACUUUAUGUUCAGCAGCAUCAGUAGUCUUAUACGGCACUCCCGCGGCGCUCCAGUACUCCUCGCUGCCUCCCGGUCGACUCAUCUUCUACAGCUGCGUCGCCAGCGUGGGACUACUGCAGACCAUCUUCGGGUGUCUGCUAAUACACGGCACUUUUAGGAAAAGCCGCGGUAUCUGUGGCCGUGGCUGGUGCUGUCGUGGUCGGUGUGCGCGGCGCUGGUGGUGCUGAGCGUGACCGGCACCGUGCUGCUGCGGUACAACAAGAAGGUGGAAGACAACGCCGAGAUCAGCACCAUCAUCGCCCUAUACUUUCUUACUUCUAUAAUCUUAUUCUACUUCGUGUCGGUGGUAUCCAGUCGGCGACAUCAGAUGGUGCAAGACGACUACAAGUACUUGUCCAAACGACUCGUCAAGCGAGCAACCAGCUACUACUACUAGUUUACUGAAACCAUUAGGAGGAUGAUCUCAUUACAUUAGACAGGUGGAAUUUGUACUAUUUAUUACCAAAUACAUAUGAAGCUAUUCUAUA